rnacentral:rRNA from 1 species
GAUGGACGCUGGCGGCGUGCCUAAUACAUGCAAGUCGAGCGAACGGACGAGAAGCUUGCUUCUCUGAUGUUAGCGGCGGACGGGUGAGUAACACGUGGAUAACCUACCUAUAAGACUGGGAUAACUUCGGGAAACCGGAGCUAAUACCGGAUAAUAUUUUGAACCGCAUGGUUCAAAAGUGAAAGACGGUCUUGCUGUCACUUAUAGAUGGAUCCGCGCUGCAUUAGCUAGUUGGUAAGGUAACGGCUUACCAAGGCAACGAUGCAUAGCCGACCUGAGAGGGUGAUCGGCCACACUGGAACUGAGACACGGUCCAGACUCCUACGGGAGGCAGCAGUAGGGAAUCUUCCGCAGUGGGCGAAAGCCUGACGGAGCAACGCCGCGUGAGUGAUGAAGGUCUUCGGAUCGUAAAACUCUGUUAUUAGGGAAGAACAUAUGUGUAAGUAACUGUGCACAUCUUGACGGUACCUAAUCAGAAAGCCACGGCUAACUACGUG